AUUGAACGCUGGCGGCAUGCCUUACACAUGCAAGUCGAACGGCAGCACGGGGGCAACCCUGGUGGCGAGUGGCGAACGGGUGAGUAAUGCAUCGGAACGUGUCCUCUUGUGGGGGAUAACCAGUCGAAAGAUUGGCUAAUACCGCAUGAGAUCGAGAGAUGAAAGCGGGGGACCCGAGGGUAACUUCGGGCCUCGCGCGAGAGGAGCGGCCGAUGCCGGAUUAGCAGUUGGUGGGGUAAGAGCCUACCAAGGCGACGAUCCGUAGCUGGUCUGAGAGGACGACCAGCCACACUGGGACUGAGACACGGCCCAGACUCCUACGGGAGGCAGCAGUGGGGAAUUUUGGACAAUGGGGGAAACCCUGAUCCAGCGACGCCGCGUGUGUGAAGAAGG
rnacentral:rRNA from 1 species